rnacentral:rRNA from 1 species
GGGCCCGCACAAGCGGUGGAGUAUGUGGUUUAAUUCGAUGCAACGCGAAGAACCUUACCAGGGUUUGACAUCCUGCGAAUCUCUUGGAAACGAGAGAGUGCCUUCGGGAACGCAGUGACAGGUGGUGCAUGGCUGUCGUCAGCUCGUGUCGUGAGAUGUUGGGUUAAGUCCCGCAACGAGCGCAACCCACGUCUUUAGUUGCCAGCAUUUAGUUGGGUACUCUGAAAGAACUGCCAGUGAUAAGCUGGAGGAAGGUGGGGAUGACGUCAAGUCCUCAUGGCCCUUACGUGUUGGGCUACACACGUGCUACAAUGGUAGUGACAAUGGGUUAAUCCCAAAAGCUAUCUCAGUUCGGAUUGUCGUCUGCAACUCGACGGCAUGAAGUCGGAAUCGCUAGUAAUCG